ACAGUGGAAAACUAUGGCCUUAAAGACUUUCACCACACUGUUGCUACUUCUCGCUGCUGCAGUUGUCUACAGUACUUUCGCACAAGAAACUGGAGAGGGCGCUACUUAUUUAGAUCCCAUUGGACCCAAAUUGCCUGACGAGCAUACGAUGAAAGAAACUGUCGCAUGCACAGUAAAUGGUCAAAACUGUCAGUGUUAUCCCAGAACAAAUAUUAUAUACAGCUGCUAAAAGGACGUAAUCAUUUCUGUAUAGCAGGAAGCGGACGGACCGCCUGCGUGGAAAACCAUUUAAUUGGGGAGUCUGAACGUGACGCGACAUUUGCUCCGGCGACAAUAGCCCCGGUCUUUCUUUCGUCUAAAAUAGGGUUAUGAUUAGGUUUCCUGUAAAGUCUUAGGUUUAUGGUUCGGUUUAAUAAUAAUAACAAGAAGAAUAAUGUUCAUUUAUAUAGCGCUUAUUAUAAUAGCAUAGAGUAUAUUAUUAAACCCAGGGUUGAAGUUGGUAAUUCGAUUAAUAAUAAUAAUAAUAAUAAACACAGCAUUUAUUAUGC